rnacentral:rRNA from 1 species
UUGGAGGGCAAGUSUGGUGCCAGCAGCCGCGGUAAAUUCCAGCUCCAAUAGCGUAUAUUUAAAGUUGUUGCAGUUAAAAAGCUCGUAGUUGAACUUCGGGACCAAUUUGUUGGUCGUGCCUCGGUACGUACUGGUAUUAUUGGUUUCUACCUUSUGAAGAACCUUGAUGUCAUUAAUUUGGUGUCUUGGGGAAUCAGGACUGUUACUUUGAAAAAAUUAGAGUGUUUAAAGCAAGCAUACGCUUGAAUACAUUAGCAUGGAAUAAUGAAAUAGGACGUUUGAUUCUAUUUUGUUGGUUUCUAGGAUSGACGUAAUGAUUAAUAGGGAUAGUUGGGGGCAUUAGUAUUCAAUUGUCAGAGGUGAAAUUCUUGGAUUUAUUGAAGACUAACUACUGCGAAAGCAUUUGCCAAGGAUGUUUUCAUUAAUCAAGAACGAAAGUUAGGGGAUCGAAGACGAUCAGAUACCGUCGUAGUMUUAACCAUAAACUAUKCCGACUAWGGGAUCGGAUGGAUGUUAAUUUUUUUAAUGWCUCAUUCGGCGCYUUA